GCCAUGCAUGUCUAAGUAUAAGCAACUAUACGGUGAAACUGCGAAUGGCUCAUUAAAUCAGUUAUCGUUUAUUUGAUAGUACCCUACUACAUGGAUAACCGUGGUAAUUCUAGAGCUAAUACAUGCUAAAAACCCCGACUUCGGAAGGGGUGUAUUUAUUAGAUUAAAACCCAACGCCCUUCGGGGCUUCGUGGUGAAUCAUAAUAACUCAACGAAUCGCAUGGCCUUGCGCCGGCGAUGGUUCAUUCAAAUUUCUGCCCUAUCAACUUUCGAUGGUAGGAUAGUGGCCUACCAUGGUUUCAACGGGUAACGGGGAAUAAGGGUUCGACUCCGGAGAGGGAGCCUGAGAAACGGCUACCACAUCCAAGGAAGGCAGCAGGCGCGCAAAUUACCCAAUCCCGACACGGGGAGGUAGUGACAAUAAAUACUGAUACAGGGCUCUUUUGGGUCUUGUAAUUGGAAUGAGUACAAUUUAAAUCCCUUAACGAGGAACAAUUGGAGGGCAAGUCUGGUGCCAGCAGCCGCGGUAAUUCCAGCUCCAAUAGCGUAUAUUAAAGUUGUUGCAGUUAAAAAGCUCGUAGUUGAACCUUGGGCCUGGCUGGCCGGUCCGCCUCACCGCGUGCACUGGUCCGGCCGGGCCUUUCUUUCUGGGGAGCCGCAUGGCCUUCACUGGCCGUGUCGGGGAACCAGGACUUUUACUUUGAAAAAAUUAGAGUGUUCAAAGCAGGCCUUUGCUCGGAUACAUCAGCAUGGAAUAAUAGAAUAGGACGCGUGGUUCUAUUUUGUUGGUUUCUAGGACCGCCGUAAUGAUUAAUAGGGAUAGUCGGGGGC
rnacentral:rRNA from 1 species